AUCUGCCUCCAAAACCAAGAAGGGCAGAUGUGCUUACAGCCUUUGAAGAUAAAGAUAAUGUCUCCUUCAGAGCAAAGGUUCCUGCAGAGGCAGCAACAAUAUUCCGGGAAGCUCAGCAAGUUUAAUCAUGGGCUCUGGUUCCAGGAGUAGUAGCAGUACCAGCACAAGCACCAGCAACAGCAGUGACUACAGGCUCCAGCAUCCUCCAUGGAAGAAACUAUGUACAUUUAGACACAUACCCUGGUAAGCUACUUCAGGGUGGAAGAGGAACUCCAAGGGAACAGAUUGAAAGAAAAAAAAGAAAGAAAGAAAGAAA